rnacentral:rRNA from 1 species
GCAAACAGGAUUAGAUACCCUGGUAGUCCACGCCGUAAACGAUGUCGACUUGGAGGUUGUUCCCUUGAGGAGUGGCUUCCGGAGCUAACGCGUUAAGUCGACCGCCUGGGGAGUACGGCCGCAAGGUUAAAACUCAAAUGAAUUGACGGGGGCCCGCACAAGCGGUGGAGCAUGUGGUUUAAUUCGAUGCAACGCGAAGAACCUUACCUACUCUUGACAUCCAGAGAACUUAGCAGAGAUGCUUUGGUGCCUUCGGGAACUCUGAGACAGGUGCUGCAUGGCUGUCGUCAGCUCGUGUUGUGAAAUGUUGGGUUAAGUCCCGCAACGAGCGCAACCCUUAUCCUUUGUUGCCAGCGGUUAGGCCGGGAACUCAAAGGAGACUGCCAGUGAUAAACUGGAGGAAGGUGGGGAUGACGUCAAGUCAUCAUGGCCCUUACGAGUAGGGCUACACACGUGCUACAAUGGCGCAUACAAAGAGAAGCGACCUCGCGAGAGCAAGCGGACCUCAUAAAGUGCGUCGUAGUCCGGAUUGGAGUCUGCAACUCGACUCCAUGAAGUCGGAAUCGCUAGUAAUCGUAGAUCAGAAUGCUACGGUGAAUACGUUCCCGGGCCUUGUACACACCGCCCGUCACACCAUGGGAGUGGGUUGCAAAAGAAGUAGGUAGCUUAACCUUCGGGAGGGCGCUUACCACUUUGUGAUUCAUGACUGGG